rnacentral:rRNA from 1 species
CACGUAGGGCGCAAGCGUUUGUCCGGAAUUAUUGGGCGUAAAGAGCUCGUAGGCGGUCUGUUGCGUCCGCUGUGAAAACUCGGGGCUUAACCCCGAGCCUGCAGUGGAUACGGGCAGACUAGAGGUAGGUAGGGGAGAAUGGAAUUCCUGGUGUAGCGGUGAAAUGCGCAGAUAUCAGGAGGAACACCGGUGGCGAAGGCGGUCUCUGGCCGAAAUUGACGCUGAGGAGCGAAAGCGUGGGAGCAAACAGG